GGGGUAACGUAGGGAAACUUACGCUAAUACCGCUACGACCUACGGGUGAAGGCAGGGGAUCUUCGGACCUUGCGCGUUGAAUGAGCCGAUGUCGGAUAGCUAGUUGGCGGGGUAAAGGCCCACCAAGGCGACGAUCCUAGCUGGUCUGAGAGGAUGAUCAGCCACACUGGAACUGAGACACGGUCCAGACUCCUACGGGAGGCAGCAGUGGGGAAUAUUGGACAAUGGGCGCAAGCCUGAUCCAGCCAUACCGCGUGGGUGAAGAAGGCCUUCGGGUUGUAAAGCCCUUUUGUUGGGAAAGAAAUCCAGCCGGCUAAUACCUGGUUGGGAUGACGGUACCCAAAGAAUAAGCACCGGCUAACUUCGUGCCAGCAGCC
rnacentral:rRNA from 1 species